rnacentral:rRNA from 1 species
CAGCAGUGGGGAAUAUUGCACAAUGGGCGCAAGCCUGAUGCAGCCAUGCCGCGUGUAUGAAGAAGGCCUUCGGGUUGUAAAGUACUUUCAGCAGUGAGGAAGGUGGAUAUGUUAAUAGCAUAUUCAUUUGACGUUAGCUGCAGAAGAAGCACCGGCUAACUCCGUGCCAGCAGCCGCGGUAAUACGGAGGGUGCGAGCGUUAAUCGGAAUUACUGGGCGUAAAGCGCAUGCAGGUGGUUUGUUAAGUCAGAUGUGAAAGCCCGGGGCUCAACCUCGGAAUUGCAUUUGAAACUGGCAAACUAGAGUACUGUAGAGGGGGGUAGAAUUUCAGGUGUAGCGGUGAAAUGCGUAGAGAUCUGAAGGAAUACCGGUGGCGAAGGCGGCCCCCUGGACAGAUACUGACACUCAGAUGCGAAAGCGUGGGGAGCAAACAGGAUUAGAUACCCUGGUAG